rnacentral:rRNA from 1 species
AACAGGAUUAGAUACCCUGGUAGUCCAUGCCGUAAACGUUGGGCGCUAGGUGUGGGGCUCUUUCCAUGAGUUCCGUGCCGCAGCUAACGCAUUAAGCGCCCCGCCUGGGGAGUACGGCCGCAAGGCUAAAACUCAAAGGAAUUGACGGGGGCCCGCACAAGCGGCGGAGCAUGCGGAUUAAUUCGAUGCAACGCGAAGAACCUUACCAAGGCUUGACAUGGGGUGAAAACUCGCAGAGAUGCGGGGUCCGCAAGGGCGCCUCACAGGUGGUGCAUGGUUGUCGUCAGCUCGUGUCGUGAGAUGUUGGGUUAAGUCCCGCAACGAGCGCAACCCUCGUUCUAUGUUGCCAGCACGUGAUGGUGGGGACUCAUAGGAGACUGCCGGGGUCAACUCGGAGGAAGGUGGGGACGACGUCAAAUCAUCAUGCCCCUUAUGUCUUGGGCUUCACGCAUGCUACAAUGGCCAGUACAAAGGGCUGCGAGACCGUAAGGUGGAGCGAAUCCCAAAAAGCUGGUCUCAGUUCGGAUCGGGGUCUGCAACUCGACCCCGUGAAGUCGGAGUCGCUAGUAAUCGCAGAUCAGCAACGCUGCGGUGAAUACGUUCCCGGGCCUUGUACACACCGCCCGUCACGUCAUGAAAGUCGGUAACACCCGAAGCCGGUGGCCCAACCCGUAAGGGAGGGAGCUGUCGAAGGUGGGACUGGCGAUUAGGACGAAGUCGUAACAAGGUAACC